AAAUUCCCGUCCUGGAAAGAGAGAAGCCCGCUCACCAGGGAUCGAGUCUUGGGCUUGUGGAGGUAACGACAUGAGUUAAGCGUAGACAGAGCGACAUUCAGGCCGUAAGCGCAAGUUGAAGUGAUUGAGCUCCGUGAAGACCGAUGAAUCGAGGGUCGACAGAGUCAUGAGUCUGGAAGGCUACAGUAAGCAACCGUUAAUUCUCUAUUCUUUAAUUC
rfam:Alphaproteobacteria bacterium GWC2_42_16 gwc2_scaffold_6236, whole genome shotgun sequence.